rnacentral:rRNA from 1 species
UACGAAGGGGGCUAGCGUUGCUCGGAAUCACUGGGCGUAAAGGGUGCGUAGGCGGGUCUUUAAGUCAGGGGUGAAAUCCUGGAGCUCAACUCCAGAACUGCCUUUGAUACUGAAGAUCUUGAGUUCGGGAGAGGUGAGUGGAACUGCGAGUGUAGAGGUGAAAUUCGUAGAUAUUCUCAAGAACACCAGUGGCGAAGGCGGCUCACUGGCCAGAUACUGACGCUGAGGCACGAAAGCGUGGGGAGCAAACAGG